ACGUUCGUUUGGUUAACCAAACGAUGAGUCGUAGCAGAUAAUUUGACAUAACAGCGGUAGUUCUUUGUGGUGGCGGUGGUCUUGGUCGGCUAAAAUUUAAAGGCCAAGAUCAGUUCAGUAAUAAUGGCUACCUGUUCUAUCUUCCAAGCACUUUUGUUGUUUCUUACUCUUUCAGACUUAUUUGUCCAAAAUCUCAGUAUCGGAGUAGGAAUUAACUAUGGACAAAUUGCCGACAAUCUGCCAUCUCCAUCUCGUGUUGCCAACCUCCUUACAUCUCUCAACAUUAGUAGAGUAAAACUCUAUGAUGCCGAUCCGAACGUCCUGCUCGCCUUCUCUAACUCGAAUGUUGAUUUCAUUGUUGGCCUAGGAAAUGAGUAUCUUCAGAGUAUGGCUGACCCCAUAAAAGCUCAAAAUUGGAUUCAACAGCAUGUUACACCCCACCUUCCUCAAACAAAGAUUUCCUGCAUCCUUGUGGGAAAUGAGGUAUUCUAUAGCAAUGACACUCAGUUAAAAUCUAGUCUCCUCCCAGCAAUGCAAAGUGUGUAUCAUACUCUUGUUAAUCUUGGACUAGAUAAACAAGUUACUGUCACAACUGCACACUCUCUUACAAUAUUAGGUAAUUCGUACCCUCCCUCAGCCGGAACUUUUAGGGAAGAUCUUGCCCAGUAUAUCAAACCUCUUCUGAAUUUUCAUGCUCAGAUCAAUUCACCCUUCUUAAUAAAUGCAUAUCCAUAUUUUGCAUACAAGGGUAACCCAGGUCAGGUUCAAUUAGAGUAUGUGCUAUUUCAGCCUAACCAAGGGAUGACUGAUCCAGUUACGAAUUUGCACUAUGAUAACAUGUUGUAUGCUCAAAUUGAUGCCGUGUAUUCGGCGAUGAAAGCAAUGGGGCAUACAGAUGUUGAGGUUAAAAUUUCGGAGACAGGUUGGCCAUCUAAGGGGGAUACUGAUGAGGCAGGAGCUACGCCAGAGAAUGCCGAAUUAUAUAAUGGUAAUUUGCUGCAAAGAAUACAGGAGAGGCAAGGUACUCCAGCAAAACCGUCUACUCCAGUUGACAUAUACGUGUUUGCACUUUUUAACGAGAAUUUAAAGCCCGGUCCGGCAUCAGAGAGGAACUAUGGCCUCUACUAUCCUAAUGGUACCCCAGUUUACAGCAUUGGAUUACAGGGCAGAUUACAGGGCUAUCUACCAGGGUUUGACAUUUCAGCAUCCAGUAACAAUGCUUUGUCUGUUUUUAGCUUUCUUAUCAUUCUUAUGGCAAGCUUAAUCUGUGAGCACUUGUGAAUUCUUGAACGGAAGGCAGGAGAGAUCAAAAGAGAAAACAUAGGAAUUCCUAGAGAUCAUUUAAUGCAAGAGGAUUUUCGACGGGGAAACAAAAACGUACGUGGAGCUUUUAUUUCUAAUAUAAAAGCUACUUACUCCAGCAGUGACAGAUCGGAGCUUUUCUUUUAUAAACCGCACAAGAUUCAUCAUAGAGAACAAUAAUCAUAUAUGUAAAUAUAGUAUAAACCAUUCAUUAACAGAUUAGGUAAUUCAUCUUUAAAAAAUAACAAUAAUCAUGAAGAAGCCAUGAGGUAAUUAGCUAAGGUAGGUAGAAAAGUAAUAAGAACUACAAAUUGUUUAACAAAAAUCUAAUAAUUAGUGUUAAGGGAGAACUUGGUGAAGAUUUUAGAGGGCGAUUUGUGGGAUUCUAGGACUGGCAGCAUUUUGUUGUAUAUGGAGCAAUAGAAUUGAUUUUACCAUGUAAGCACAAGUCUAGAAAUAAAAAUAUUUGCUGAUGGUAUCUUGUUA